CCUACGGGAGGCAGCAGUAGGGAAUUUUCGGCAAUGGGUGGAACCCUGACCGAGCAACGCCGCGUGAACGAAGAAGUUAUUCGUAAUGUAAAGUUCUUUUAACAGGGAAGAAAGAGAAAUUUGACGGUACCUGAAGAAUAAGCUCCGGCUAACUACGUGCCAGCAGCCGCGGUAAUACGUAGGGAGCGAGCGUUAUCCGGAAUUAUUGGGCGAAAAGGGUGCGUAGAUGGAAUAGUAAGUCUUUUGUAAAAAUGCUGGGCUCAACCCAGUAGGGCAAAAGAAACUGCAAAGCUAGAGUAUGACAGAGGCAAGUGGAACUACAUGUGUAGCGGUAAAAUGCGUAAAUAUAUGUAAGAACACCAGUGGCGAAGGCGGCUUGCUGGGUCGAUACUGACAUUGAGGCACGAAAGCGUGGGGAGCAAACAGGAUUAGAUACCCCGGUAGUC
rnacentral:rRNA from 1 species